UGGUGGGGUGACUUGUCUGCUUAAUUGCGAUAACGAACGAGACCUUAACCUGCUAAAUAGCCAGCAUUGCUCCGGCAGUGCGCUGGCUUCUUAGAGGGACUUUCGGCUCAAGCCGAAGGAAGUUUGAGGCAAUAACA
rnacentral:rRNA from 1 species